AAUCAAUCCAACGCACCACUAAAUACUGUUCUCUACCUCUACGCUCGCGCGCAAGAACGUCAAGUGCGCACGACGAUUGUGGUUAUAAAGACAAACCCAUUCCUACCCGAGUGAAUUCAUUCAAACCAGUGAGAUCAAACUCAGAGUGCAACACAAAUAUCCUCAGGGAGCUUCUCCGUAAACUGCCCAGGUGCUCCAUCCCAUCCUGCAGUAAGCCUCCAAUGAUGAACCUACCCUCCUGCCUGAUGAACUUGUACUUUAGAGCAAUGAGACCUCCAGUUUUCUGCCACGGUGUUUACUCUGAGGCUGCCAGAGCAGGAAGGAGAGGGGAUCCAUUUGUCCCAAGGUGAGACACACUCUCCAACACCCCGAUGUUAAAUAAACACUCCCAGACCUCUGGCCAGCUCACUCCAGCCACUGGAAUACCAUUGGUGUGUCUAGAUGAUGG
rnacentral:lncRNA from 1 species